GACGAACGCUGGCGGCGCGCCUAACACAUGCGAGUCGAACGAGCGAGAGAGAGCUUGCUUUCUCGAGCGAGUGGCGAACGGGUGAGUAACGCGUGAGGAACCUGCCUCAAAGAGGGGGACAACAGUUGGAAACGACUGCUAAUACCGCAUAAGCCCACGGUGCCGCAUGGCACAGAGGGAAAAGGAGCAAUCCGCUUUGAGAUGGCCUCGCGUCCGAUUAGCUAGUUGGUGAGGUAAUGGCCCACCAAGGCGACGAUCGGUAGCCGGACUGAGAGGUUGAACGGCCACAUUGGGACUGAGACACGGCCCAGACUCCUACGGGAGGCAGCAGUGGGGAAUAUUGCACAAUGGGGGAAACCCUGAUGCAGCGACGCCGCGUGGAGGAAGAAGGUCUUCGGAUUGUAAACUCCUGUUGUUGGGGAAGAUAAUGACGGUACCCAACAAGGAAGUGACGGCUAACUACGUG
rnacentral:rRNA from 1 species